rnacentral:rRNA from 1 species
UACAGAGGGUGCAAGCGUUAAUCGGAAUUACUGGGCGUAAAGCGUGCGUAGACGGUAGCGUAAGUCGGGUGUGAAAUCCCCAGGCUCAACCUGGGAACUGCAUUUGAAACUCCCUUUCUUGAGUACCGGAGAGGAAAGCGGAAUUCCUGGUGUAGAGGUGAAAUUCGUAGAUAUCAGGAGGAACACCAGCGGCGAAGGCGGCUUUCUGGACGGUAACUGACGCUGAGACGCGAAAGCGUGGGGAGCAAACAGG